UACGUAGGUGGCAAGCGUUGUCCGGAUUUACUGGGCGUAAAGGGCUCGUAGGCGGCCAACUAAGUCCGACGUGAAAUCCCAAAGCUUAACUUUGGAACUGCGUCGGAUACUGGAUGGCUUGAAUUCGGGAGAGGGAUGCAGAAUUCCAGGUGUAGCGGUGAAAUGCGUAGAUAUCUGGAGGAAUACCGGUGGCGAAGGCGGCAUCCUGGACCGACAUUGACGCUGAGGAGCGAAAGCUAGGGGAGCAAACGGG
rnacentral:rRNA from 1 species